AUUGAGCGCUGGCGGCAGGCUUAACACAUGCAAGUCGAGCGGGGAAAGGUAGCUUGCUACCUAACCUAGCGGCGGACGGGUGGGUAAUGCUUAGGAAUCUGCCUAUUAGUGGGGGGACAACAUUCCGAAAGGAAUGCUAAUACCGCAUACGCCCUACGGGGGGAAAAGCAGGGGAUCUUCGGACCUUGCGCUAAUUGAUGAGCCUAAGUCAGAUUAGCUAGUUGGUGGGGUAAAGGCCUACCAAGGCGACGAUCUGUAGCGGGUCUGAGAGGAUGAUCCGCCACACUGGGACUGAGACACGGCCCAGACUCCUACGGGAGGCAGCAGUGGGGAAUAUUGGACAAUGGGCGAAAGCCUGAUCCAGCCAUGCCGCGUGUGUGAAGAAGGCCUUUUGGUUGUAAAGCACUUUAAGCGAGGAGGAGGCUACUUAGAUUAAUACUCUAGGAUAGUGGACGUUACUCGCAGAAUAAGCACCGGCUAACUCUAUG
rnacentral:rRNA from 1 species